CAGGACGAACGCUGGCGGCGUGCCUAACACAUGCAAGUCGAACGGGGAUUUGUUUCGGCAGAAUCCUAGUGGCGAACGGGUGAGUAACGCGUAGGCAACCUGCCCUCCGGCCGGGGGACAACACUCCGAAAGGGGUGCUAAUACCGGAUACGAAGUCUGUGCCGCAUGGUACGGAUUUGAAAGAUGGCCUCUAUUUAUAAGCUAGUCGCCGGGGGAUGGGCCUGCGUCCGAUUAGCUGGUUGGUGGGUAACGGCCUACCAAGGCGACGAUCGGUAGCCGGUCUGAGAGGAUGAACGGCCACAUUGGGACUGAGACACGGCCCAGACUCCUACGGGAGGCAGCAGUGGGGAAUCUUCCGCAAUGGGCGCAAGCCUGACGGAGCAACGCCGCCGUGAGUGAGGAAGUUCUUCGGAACGUAAAGCUCUGUUGUUCCUGACGAACCUCCCUUCUAUCAACAACGGAGGGGACUGACGGUAGGGAACGAGGAAGCCACGGCUAACUACGUGCCAGCCGCCGC
rnacentral:rRNA from 1 species